UUUUAAUGACAGUCACAUUAACUAAUGCAUGUAUAAGCAGGCAUACUCUCUCACACACUUGUAAUAUAGCCUCGUUGUUGCAUAACUCACCGUUUAGCACUCCACAAGUGGGUUCUGUUUCAUACCAAGGGGUUAUUGUGGAUGUCAAAUUAGAAUAGCUAGAGACCUUAGAAAUAAAACACCCGUAAAAACAUCUUAUUUUUCAUGUGUGAGCUGCUACAUUUACCCACUUGAACGUGUCCUACAAGCAUAGUUAAGAAUUACACCCAGGACUAAUAGCAGA